GACGAACCGUGCGAACGUUAUUCGGAAUCAUUGGGCUUAAAGCGCGUGUAGGCGGAUUCGUGCGUCUGUCGCUGAAAUCCCCCGGCUCAACCGGGGAACGGGCGUGGAUACGACGAGUCUGGAGGGGCAUAGGGGGACCUGGAACUUCCGGUGGAGCGGUGAAAUGCGUUGAGAUCGGAAGGAACGCCCGUGGCGAAAGCGAGGUCCUGGAUGCCUACUGACGCUGAGACGCGAAAGCCAGGGGGGCGAACGGG
rnacentral:rRNA from 1 species